rnacentral:lncRNA from 12 species
ACGGAGGCUCACCCUUCUGGAAACACGCAGCCAGCACAAAGCGGCGGGCGCGACCGCAGGCCCCAGCAGUGCCCGCCGCGCACGCGGAGCAAAGAGCAGAGAGUCUCGGAGCACACGCUAACCGCAGGGGUUCCCUGUGUUUCAACAGAAAAAUCACUUACGCCCUCUCUGCAGAGGCUAAAUCUUGUUCGUAUCCCAAGAGGCCUCAUCCACCAGGGCGGCCUCGGGCCCGGGGUCCCCAGGGCGGCCCUCGCGGGGCGGGCGUCAGGACGGACACGGGCCGCCGCCGGCAGAGCACAGGACUGGGCGGGGCCUGCGCGGGCCGCAGCGGGACGGGGCGGCGGAGCACUCGGCGGCCGCGGGCACGAGGGCCCCAGAGCGCGGCGCCCCGGGGUGGAGGCGCCUCCGCAGCAAGCCGGCGGGACCCAGACGCGGCCGCUCGCGCCCCCCACGGCACCCACGGGGGACCCCGACUCGUCGCUACCCAAGGCGGCGUCUGCGCUGCGGGCUGCGUCCUCGUCGCUGGAACGAAGCCGCCGCAGAGCCGCCGAGCCCCCCGCGGCUGCCCUCGCUCUCGACCCCUGCCGGCACCAGAGACGCGCUCCCAGCAGGCAGGGGCUCCGCGACGCCGGCACACGGGCCCCAGGCACCCGCGGUGAGUGGAGCCUGCGCCGACCGAGGGACGCCGCGGCCCACAGGACGAGGGGCGGAGGGAACGUCCAGGGGCCCGCGUGGGGUCGGGCUGCCGGGCACGGGGGGGGGGGGGGGCACCUGCGGCGACCAGCGCGGACCGGGACAGACGCGCGUGCACCGGGUCUGGGCGAGCGGCCGCGUGUCCUCCGGAGAACUCCGGGCUCCCGGGAGGUGGCGGCCGCGUUCCCGAGGACGGGGCGGGAGGACGGGCCGGGCACUGGGAGAGGCCGGGCAGCUCGGGGACACCGCGGGGGCCCGGGGCGGCCGACGGGGCCUCUCAGGGAUCCGUGUGCGGCCUCGGCCCCAGGUCUGCGGCGACCGGUCAGGCCCUGGGCAGGCGCACGUGGGGGCGGGGCCCUUCUGGCGGCUCAGGCUGGCCCCGGCCCCCCGCAGGCGGCCCGGCGUGGUCGGCGCUGGGCACGCGGCCUCCAGCCCCGGGGGAGGCUCCGGCGGCGGCGCAGCCAAGGGGACAAGCGCCGCCCUCGGCCGGGUGGGGCGCAGGGAGCCGCGGGGCGGGGCGGGCUGCACGGCGGAGCCUCACCCCUGCGCCCCCGAGGCCGAGGCCAGGGCUUCCCCCGACGGGCCCGGCUCCGGCCCCACUCCCGGGGCUUCAGGCGCAGGCGCGGGCCUCGCAGGGCGCUCGGGGUCCUGAGGGCGCUGAUCCCGGCGACGCGCCCGCCCUCGCCCUCGGCCUCGGCCCAGGCCCGUGUUUGGCGGCGAGGACACGAGCCGCCCGACAGGGACGCGGAACACGACGCAGCAGCCACGGCCCGACCCACGGGGAGCCGCGGCCGCCGAGGAGCGUCGAGGUACGGGCGGCUUCGUCCCACCUGCAGGCGGCGGCGGCCGACACCGCCACAGCCGGGCACGCGGGGCCACGCGGGGGGCAGGACGUGCCGGAGCCGCGCCGCCGUCCUCGUCCUCGUCCUCGUGGGGCCCCGAGGGCCGCUGCGCCGGGGAGGGCUCCCGCGGCGGCCACGGGCGGGCCCAGGGGGGCGUCCGGGAGGCCGGCCGGAGGCAGACGGGGCCGCGGGACGGGCGCGCCUUGGGCUCGGCGCCCAGGUGCCUCCACCCGCACAGCUCGAGGCGGAGGCCGCGUGCUCCCCCUGCCCGCCCCGCGGCGAGGCCCCCGAGCUGCUCCGCCGCCCGGCCGGAAGCCAGGGCUCCACGGGGCCUCCGCGCCUCCCCUGCUGCUGCCCCGGAGCCGGAGCCGGAGCCGAGCCGAGGAGACCUCGCGGGAACUGCUGUCUGGACAGCCUCAAGGGGAAACCGGCCUCACCCGGCCCAGGGCGGCAGGAAGCGCCAAGACUUCCGGGCGGGCCGCAGUCACCGGUGGCCAAAGAGAAGCCGCCGCCACGCUCAGCCAAUGAGAAGCCACCACCAUCACCUGCAGCCAAUGAGAAGCCUCCGCCACGCUCAGCCAAUGAGAAGCCGCUGCCACACGCAGCCAGUGAGAAGCCACCACCAUCACCUGCAGCCAGUCGACACUUUCCGGCCUGCGAAUCCUCCAGCCCUGCCUGGGAAGCGGAGAACCCAGCUCGAAGACUAUCUUUCCUCUCACGGAUCUAUGUGGCGCCCUCGCCCGAGGAGGCCGUUAACCCCGUGACCCGCCGUAAGUCACUAAAAUCCAUUUUCGUGGGCUCCGGGGCCCCGGAAGCGACCAGUAAAGAAUUCUGUUCUUCAAAAACCGUUUCUUGUUUGCUCAGAAGCCAGUUUUCAUCAGAUGUUGAUUUGGGCUUUGCAGACUGUAACCCACGCCCUGGGUUUCCUGACAAAACACCAUGUUCUAGAGGACGCGAGUCCCAAGGAGUGGACCCCCCCCCCGGCCGGACCCCCAGGCGGCCUCGCGCUAUCGAACUGUGCCGCGUGUCAGGUUGUACUUGAGAAAAGUGCAAGACAUUUUUGAAUAUUUUCUGCGGAGUUUCAUGAAUAUGCUUUUGCGACGACUUAAUGUGAAUCUUUUGUAAUCUGCCAGUAAUCUUAAUGUGUGGUCAUACUAUAUUAUCAGGCUUGUAAAAUGUAUGGACUAUAAAAAAAAAUUCUGAAAAGAUGCAAAACUAAUGCUAUAUUCAUGCAUUAAUUACUGAAAAGUUGCACUGGCUCAUCAUUCCAUUGUUGAAUGGAAGCAUCGUUCAAAUUUAUGAAAUGACUAUUCACGACUCAGAGUAUUUUCUGGCAAGAAAAACAAUUAUUCAUUCAACAAAUAUUAGUGUUAGAGGUGUUAGGGUGCAUCACUGAAAUUCUGCCCUGUUGAGACUUCUGUCCUAGAGCAGAAAUGGGAAUGCAGAAGGAACAGCUGGCUUAUUAAUGUAACAACUGAGGAAGCAGACGACUUUUAUCUUGGAUACAGAUAAAGUAUAAGGUGCACUUGGAAGAUGCUGAAAAGAAUUUCAACAAUAAAUACAAUUUUACCAACA